GUCGCUGCCUGCCGCGGCCCCUGCCGGCCGCCGUCGCUGCUGCUGCCGCCAUUUCUCAGUUUCCUUCAGCUCUGACUCAUAAUCAUCAGAAAAAGAUGCCAUGUAACCUACUGUCACAUUCUGAACAAAAAUGAGAUAUAUGAUGCCCACAUUCCUCUACCUCAGAGGGGAUCAGUAAGAAGACUAUUUCAACCUGUUAUAGUGACCAGACCCCUCCAUCCUUGACACUUGCUUUUAACUGCUGAAGCAACAGAAGGCUUCCUGCGGAGCCUCAGCCCUGCAGAGACUGCUGCGGGGACGCUCCCGGGCUGCUCGUCAUCCGUGGCCGACCUGCAGGAGAUGCUGUCAGUUUUGUGAAAAUAAAAGCAAAGAGAACAAAGUACCCAAGAAACGCAUGAUCUAAACAGUGCAGAUCUGAGUUUAGAUUACCUCGGUGUUGAUCAGUUUUCAGCCUAAUCACACUGGCAGUUUCCCCAUGACAGCUUACAGAUCCCCAAAAUAUCUAAAGGAAGUCACCUGUAGAAGACCAGCUAUAACUGGAAGGACAAUCUGAGCCAUACAU